CCCCACACUUUAUUCCGCCUUCCUCCACUCACAGAUCCAAAAGACUCGAUCGUAAAUAUCAAUUUCACACAAUAUUCCCCACUUUCCCAGCACCUUUUUUCAACUGCAUUUCAUUUUCCGAUCACCGGACGAGACAUUUCUCCACCCUAAUUUCCUCCUACUACGGCGGAACGCGGCGGUCGGUGGAUGGCAAGAACCAAUAAAUAUACCUCCCUUAACUUCAACGACAUCUACGAAAAGAAAACCACUAGCAGCAGCUCCGCCACCUCCGGUAGACCGCACUCUUCUUCAUCAUCUUCUUUUAAUGGUCCCAAUAAGACUAUUAUCUCCAACUCACGUAUCCAUGGCCACAUGCUUGUCCUGAGCCGGCCCACUCCCAAGCCCAUCUCCAUUCCGCAACCCCAGCCUCAGCCUCUUCCGAUCCAGCUACAGCCCAAGUUACAAAGCCCACCGGAUCAAACCCGAGCUGAAUCGGACUCCAUUUCGCUUCGUCCACAGGGUCGUACUGGGUCGGGGCCGACUGCUACACUUUCUUCGUCUCCUGUGAACCCGCCUUCACCUUUGCAAUCGCCUUUGCCAAAGUCGAACCGGUUCGUGCCGCCACAUCUUAGACCGGGAUUUGUGGGCCGGGAGGAGAAACCGGUCCCGGAUGGUCAGGGAUUGAGAGCUAAACAGGAGGUUGGGCCUGGGCCGCAUCGUCAGGGAGCACAUCUUGGGUCGUCACCUAAUCGGUUCGGAGAGAACGGUAGGCCCAAAUCGGGAGGUGGGUAUGAACGAAUGAGGAGAGG
rnacentral:lncRNA from 1 species